CUCAGCUAUUCAUGGGCCAGAGUAACAGUAAUUUUCAAUCCCCAUCACCAAAGUCGUUGCUACUUAAAUAGAAACACUUUACAUUGUUUUUGAAAUAUCACUAUGUCACUGUCACAUUUUAGGAGGUAAAAGAUGUCCUGUGUACAUCUCUCCUGCACUACUAUUAAGCACAUUUAGAUCCACCCCUUGGCUUGUUGUUGGAGAUGUUUAGAGCAGCAACAGAGAUAAUAAUACACUGUAUUGCUCAUUGUCUUAUCUAGUUUCCAACCAAGCAAGCUGUGGCCAGUUUUGCUAUAUAUAGAAAUAAUGGGACCUUAGAUUAUUUCAAUUUGCGGACGUAAGAAAACUGUUUCCAUGAUACACACUGCUGUAAACCAUUAAAAAAUCCCUCACAUAAGCAAUGUAGAGCCUUUCUUUGUGUGUAUAAGAAACACAUAGACAUACACAUAAUGAGUAGUGAUUGCAAAUGAUACUGGGGUGACUUGGACAGACUUAUAAUGGUAAAACUUGAUUCUCACUAUCUUCUUAACAUAGUUGAUUCAACUUACUGGCAUUUAAUCAUGUCAGAUUCAUCCACUAAUCAUUGGGUUUGACUGGAUCCAUCUUAUCUUGGACUAGCAUGGAGUUUUUUCAUGCUGUACCAAACCUUUGGGUGUUAUGUUACAUUUCUUAUUUGGCUAAGAAGAGAUGGCAAAUAUUUUUCUGAUCUACCUUGGAGGACUGACACCUCCAAGGAUACGGCUGAGGUACAUCAAUAUGUGGAUGACAUCCAACUCUAUUUCUCCUUUUCAUCUAACACCCGCAAAGGUAAUAAAUACGAGGAUUGGUCACAAAG